rnacentral:tRNA from 1 species
AAGGGUGAAGUAUAAAUUAUUUUACAUUUCAGUUACAUUGAAAAAAACCGGUGUCUAAAGGCGCCCUUA